rnacentral:rRNA from 1 species
AUUGAACGCUGGCGGCAGGCCUAACACAUGCAAGUCGAGCGAGCGGCGGACGGGGGAGUAAUGUCUGGGAAACUGCCUGAUGGAGGGGGAUAACUACUGGAAACGGUAGCUAAUACCGCAUACCAUCAGAUGUGCCCAGAUGGGAUUAGCUGGUAGGUGGGGUAACGGCUCACCUAGGCGACGAUCCCUAGCUGGUCUGAGAGGAUGACCAGCAACACUGGAACGGAGCCGCGGUCCAGACUCCUACGGGGGGCAGCAGUGGGGAAUAUUGCGCCGUGGGCGCAAGCCGGAUGCAGCCGUGCCGCGUGUGUGAAGAAGGCCUUCGGGUUGUAGGGCUCUUUCAGCGGGGAGGCGUUACCCGCUGAAGAAGCACCGGCUAACUCCGUGCCAGCAGCCGCGGUAAUUC